GAUUCGGACCCAGUCGAAUCCGACGAUUCAAGACACUGACGAUUUUAAGACAAUGGAUUUUUGCUCUUCGCAUUCAUCGUCUCGGAGACUCGCAGUUAACGACGUAAAUUAUCAACUGUCGCUGCCUUGAUUAGAUCACGUUGUUCACAGGUUUGAGAGCCAUGAACUGGGUUCAGCGCAAGAUCUAUCUGUAUAAUGUCACUUUUGGUCUCUACAUGUUGGAUUGGUGGGAGCGUUCCCUUUUCAAUACUUUGGUGAUCGUGCUGAUGUGGUUCAUUUUCUACAAUGGGUCGCGAUAUGUGACCGAGUUCUGUAAGAGGCAUCUAUGGUGAAGCUCAAACUCAGACGUCAAUUUGGAUGAUCAAAAUUAUAAUGGUCAUGUAGAAUGUUUGAGCGUUGCCGUGAAUAUCAAAUCCAUUUGCUUGAAAAUUUCCCUUGUAGUCUUCCUACAUCAUAGUGUACACCUUACUUUGGUUCUUUCCUUUAUUCAAUUAUCCUGUGUAAUGUUGAUGAUGUCCUGCUUCUAUCCUGAAGGAGGACGGUCAAAGCACAUAUAAAACAACAUGUUCAGUGAAGGAAACUCUACUGUAGAAAUUACAUAGAUAAUAUUUAGUAUUAAGUUGUGCUAUUUUAUUGUUUUA